CACAAGCGGUGGAGCAUGUGGUUAAUUCGAAGCAACGCGAAGAACCUUACCAGGUCUUGACAUCCCCUGACAACCCAAGAGAUUGGGCGUCCCCUCGGGGGACAGGGUGACAGGUGGUGCAUGGGUUGUCGUCAGCUCGUGUCGUGAGAUGUUGGGUUAAGUCCCGCAACGAGCGCAACCCUCGCCUCUAGUUGCCAGCAUUCGGUUGGGCACUCUAGAGGGACUGCCGGCGACAAGUCGGAGGAAGUGGGAUGACGUCAAAUCAUCAUGCCCCUUAUGACCUGGGCUACACACGUGCUACAAUGGGCGGUACAAAGGGCUGCGAACCCGCGAGGGGGAGCGAAUCCCAAAAAGCCGCUCUCAGUUCGGAUUGCAGGCUGCAACUCGCCUGCAUGAAGCCGGAAUCGCUAGUAAUCGCGGAUCAGCAUGCUGCGGUGAAUACGUUCCCGGGUCUU
rnacentral:rRNA from 1 species